AGUGAACGCUGGCGGUAGGCCUAACACAUGCAAGUCGAACGGCAGCACAGUAAGAGCUUGCUCUUACGGGUGGCGAGUGGCGGACGGGUGAGGAAUACAUCGGACUCUACUUUUUCGUGGGGGAUAACGUAGGGAAACUUACGCUAAUACCGCAUACGACCUACGGGUGAAAGCAGGGGAUCUUCGGACCUUGCGCGAUUGAAUGAGCCGAUGUCGGAUUAGCUAGUUGGCGGGGUAAAGGCCCACCAAGGCGACGAUCCGUAGCUGGUCUGAGAGGAUGAUCAGCGACACGGGAACUGAGACACGGUCCAGACUCCUACGGGAGGCAGCAGUGGGGAAUAUUGGACAAUGGGCGCAAGCCUGAUCCAGCCAUACCGCGUGGGUGAAGAAGGCCUUCGGGUUGUAAAGCCCUUUUGUUGGGAAAGAAAAGCAGCAGGUUAAUACCCCGCUGUUCUGACGGUACCCAAAGAAUAAGCACCGGCUAACUUCGUG
rnacentral:rRNA from 1 species